AUAGGGGAGCCGCAGGGAAACCGAGUCUUAACUGGGCGUUAAGUUGCAGGGUAUAGACCCGAAACCCGGUGAUCUAGCCAUGGGCAGGUUGAAGGUUGGGUAACACUAACUGGAGGACCGAACCGACUAAUGUUGAAAAAUUAGCGGAUGACCUGUGGCUGGGGGUGAAAGGCCAAUCAAACCGGGAGAUAGCUGGUUCUCCCCGAAAGCUAUUUAGGUAGCGCCUCGUGAACUCAUCUCCGGGGGUAGAGCACUGUUUCGGCUAGGGGGCCAUCCCGGCUUACCAACCCGAUGCAAACUGCGAAUACCGGAGAAUGUUAUCACGGGAGACACACGGCGGGUGCUAACGUCCGUCGUGAAGAGGGAAACAACCCAGACCGCCAGCUAAGGUCCCAAAGUCAUGGUUAAGUGGGAAACGAUGUGGGAAGGCCCAGACAGCCAGGAUGUUGGCUUAGAAGCAGCCAUCAUUUAAAGAAAGCGUAAUAGCUCACUGGUCGAGUCGGCCUGCGCGGAAGAUGUAACGGGGCUAAACCAUGCACCGAAGCUGCGGCAGCGACGCUUAUGCGUUGUUGGGUAGGGGAGCGUUCUGUAAGCCGUCGAAGGUGUGCUGUGAGGCAUGCUGGAGGUAUCAGAAGUGCGAAUGCUGACAUAAGUAACGAUAAACAAGGUGAAAAACCUUGUCGCCGGAAGACCAAGGGUUCCUGUUCAACGUUAAUCGGAGCAGGGUGAGUCGACCCCUAAGGCGAGGCCGAAAGGCGUAGUCGAUGGGAAACAGGUUAAUAUUCCUGUACUUGGUGUUACUGCGAAGGGGGGACGGAGAAGGCUAUAUCGGCCGGGCGACGGUUGUCCCGGUUUAAGCGUGUAGGUGUGUGUUCCAGGCAAAUCCGGUUCACUUUACACUGAGGCGUGACGACGAGGCACUACGGUGCUGAAGUGAUAAAUGCCCUGCUUCCAGGAAAAGCCUCUAAGCAUCAGGUAACACAAAAUCGUACCCCAAACCGACACAGGUGGUCAGGUAGAGAAUACCAAGGCGCUUGAGAGAACUCGGGUGAAGGAACUAGGCAAAAUGGUGCCGUAACUUCGGGAGAAGGCACGCUGGCGCGUAGGUGAAGGGACUUGCUCCCGGAGCUGAAGCCAGUCGAAGAUACCAGCUGGCUGCAACUGUUUAUUAAAAACACAGCACUGUGCAAACACGAAAGUGGACGUAUACGGUGUGACGCCUGCCCGGUGCCGGAAGGUUAAUUGAUGGGGUUAUCCGCAAGGAGAAGCUCUUGAUCGAAGCCCCGGUAAACGGCGGCCGUAACUAUAACGGUCCUAAGGUAGCGAAAUUCCUUGUCGGGUAAGUUCCGACCUGCACGAAUGGCGUAAUGAUGGCCAGGCUGUCUCCACCCGAGACUCAGUGAAAUUGAAAUCGCUGUGAAGAUGCAGUGUACCCGCGGCAAGACGGAAAGACCCCGUGAACCUUUACUACAGCUUGACAUUGAACACUGAGCCUUGAUGUGUAGGAUAGGUGGGAGGCUUUGAAGCGUGGACGCCAGUCUGCGUGGAGCCGACCUUGAAAUACCACCCUUUAAUGUUUGGUGUUCUAACGUAGGCCCGUGAUCCGGGCUGCGGACAGUGUCUGGUGGGUAGUUUGACUGGGGCGGUCUCCUCCCAAAGCGUAACGGAGGAGCACGAAGGUUGGCUAAUCCUGGUCGGACAUCAGGAGGUUAGUGCAAUGGCAUAAGCCAGCUUGACUGCGAGAGUGACGGCUCGAGCAGGUGCGAAAGCAGGUCAUAGUGAUCCGGUGGUUCUGAAUGGAAGGGCCAUCGCUCAACGGAUAAAAGGUACUCCGGGGAUAACAGGCUGAUACCGCCCAAGAGUUCAUAUCGACGGCGGUGUUUGGCACCUCGAUGUCGGCUCAUCACAUCCUGGGGCUGAAGUAGGUCCCAAGGGUACGGCUGUUCGCCGUUUAAAGUGGUACGCGAGCUGGGUUUAGAACGUCGUGAGACAGUUCGGUCCCUAUCUGCCGUGGGCGCUGGAGAAUUGAGGGGGGUUGCUCCUAGUACGAGAGGACCGGAGUGAACGCACCGCUGGUGUCCGGGUUGUCACGCCAGUGGCACUGCCCGGUAGCUAAGUGCGGAAAAGAUAAGUGCUGAAAGCAUCUAAGCACGAAACUUGCCCCGAGAUGAGUUCUCCCUGAGCCUUUAAGGCUCCUGAAGGGACGUUGAAGACGACGACGUUGAUAGGCCGGGUGUGUAAGCGCAGCGAUGCGUUGAGCUUACCGGUACUAAUGACCCGUGAGGCUUAACCUUACAACGCCAGAGGCGUUUUG
rnacentral:rRNA from 1 species